rnacentral:rRNA from 1 species
ACUCAAAUGAAUUGACGGGGACCCGCACAAGCGGUGGAACAUGUGGUUUAAUUCGAUGCUACGCGAAGAACCUCACCAGGGCUUGACAUACAGGAAGUAGUGAACUGAAAGGGGAACAAACUGUUAAGUCAGUAGCCUGUACAGGUGCUGCAUGGCUGUCGUCAGCUCGUGUCGUGAGAUGUUGGGUUAAGUCCCGCAACGAGCGCAACCAUUGCCCUAUGUUGCUAUCAUGUUUUCAAUCGUAAGAUUGUGGCAUAAGCACUCUUAGGGGACUGCCUGGGAUAACCAGGAGGAAGGUGGAGAUGACGUCAAGUCAGUACGGCCCUUAUGCCCUGGGCUACACACGUGUUACAAUGGCUGGUACAAAGGGUUGCCAACCCGCGAGGGGGAGCUAAUCUCAAAAAACCAGUCUCAGUUCGGAUUGAAGUCUGCAAUUCGACUUCAUGAAGCCGGAAUCGCUAGUAAUGGAAGAUCAGCUCGCUUCCGUGAAUACGUUCCCGGGUCUUGUACACACCGCCCGU